GGCCCCGUAGCUCAGUCUGGAUGGAGCGCUAGCACCUUAGAGGUCGUGAGUUCGAAUCUCACCGGGGCCG
rnacentral:tRNA from 1 species